rnacentral:rRNA from 1 species
UACGUAGGGGGCUAGCGUUGUCCGGAAUUACUGGGCGUAAAGGGCUCGUAGGCGGCCAACUAAGUCAGACGUGAAAUCCCUCGGCUUAACCGGGGAACUGCCUCUGAUACUGGAUGGCUUGAGAUUGGGAGAGGGAUGCGGAAUUCCAGGUGUAGCGGUGAAAUGCGUAGAUAUCUGGAGGAACACCGGUGGCGAAGGCGGCAUCCUGGACCAACACUGACGCUGAGGAGCGAAAGCCAGGGGAGCAAACGGG